rnacentral:lncRNA from 1 species
AUGAACCCGGCGGGGCUGCCAGCGCCAGCCGAGAGAAGCGAGAGAGGCGAGAGCCGGGUCCCUGCCGGCGCGGCGGCGUGCGACAGCCCUGCUGCGGGGCUGGCGGCGGCGGGGCGGGGGGCGGGAGACGGGGCUGGGGUGGGGGGAGAGACCCUCGACGGCCGGGCCGGCAAGAAAUACAGAUGCAAAAGCAAGACACGGGUAAAUGAGAGAAGUGUUGUUCCUGCAAGCAGAGCAUCCUGUCUCCAAGACAGGCUUCCCAAGACUCAUGCCCUCCAGCACUGCUUGUUGACCUCUUCUUCUAACACAGAACUUCGAGACAUCAUCACAAUGGCGAAACCACUGUGGACCUACAUGGUUGUGAAAACACUAGUCAUACCCCCAUCUGAGUUUCCAGUGAUGCAUUUUUUCACUGACAAAUUAUAUUCUGUUGAGCCAGAACUUUUUGCAGGUACUUACCAGUUCUUAUGA